rnacentral:rRNA from 1 species
ACUCCUGCGGGAGGCAGCAGUGAGGAAUAUUGGACAAUGGGUGGAAGCCUGAUCCAGCCAUCCCGCGUGCAGGAAGACGGCCCUAUGGGUUGUAAACUGCUUUUAUCUGGGGAUAAACCUACUUACGUGUAAGUAGCUGAAGGUACCAGAAGAAUAAGCACCGGCUAACUCCGUGCCAGCAGCCGCGGUAAUCCGGAGGGUGCAAGCGUUAUCCGGAUUUAUUGGGUUUAAAGGGUCCGUAGGCGGACUGAUAAGUCAGUGGUGAAAUCCGACAGCUUAACUGUCGAACUGCCAUUGAUACUGUUAGUCUUGAGUAAGGUUGAAGUGACUGGAAUAAGUAGUGUAGCGGUGAAAUGCAUAGAUAUUACUUAGAACACCAGUUGCGAAGGCAGGUCACUAAGUCUUAACUGACGCUGAUGUACGAAAGCGUGGGGAGCGAACAGGAUUAGAUACCCCUGUAGUCCCAUG